rnacentral:rRNA from 1 species
UACGUAGGCAGCGAGCGUUGUUCGGAAUUACUGGGCGUAAAGAGUGUGUAGGCGGUGCUCCCAGUCUGUUGUGAAAUCUCCCGGCUUAACUGGGAGGGUGCAGCGGAAACUAGAGUGCUAGAGGGUGGGAGAGGUAAGCGGAAUUCCCGGUGUGGCGGUGAAAUGCGUAGAUAUCAGGAGGAACACCUGUGGUGUAGACAGCUUACUGGACCACUUCUGACGCUGAGACACGAAAGCGUGGGUAGCAAACAGG